rnacentral:sRNA from 1 species
AUGGCUGUCGUCAGCUCGUGUCGUGAGAUGUUGGGUUAAGUCCCGCAACGAGCGCAACCCUUGUCCUAUGUUGCCAGCGGGUAAUGCCGGGGACUCGUAGGAGACUGCCGGGGUCAACUCGGAGGAAGGUGGGGACGACGUCAAGUCAUCAUGCCCCUUACGUCCAGGGCUGCACACAUGCUACAAUGGCCGGUACAGAGGGCUGCUAUCCCGCGAGGGUGAGCGAAUCCCAAAAAGCCGGUCUCAGUUCGGAUUGGAGUCUGCAACUCGACUCCAUGAAGUCGGAGUCGCUAGUAAUCCCGGAUCAGCAACGCCGGGGUGAAUACGUUCCCGGGCCUUGUACACACCGCCCGUCAAACCACGAAAGUCGGCAACACCCGAAGCCGGUCACCCAACCUUUUAGGAGGGAGCCGUCGAAGGUGGGGUUGGUGAUUGGGGUUAAGUCGUAACAAGGUAGCCGUACCGGAAGGUGCGGCUGGAUCACCUCCUUUCUAAGGAGCAAUCUGCAGCAGAUCACCACAUUUUGUGGAAGAUGGCUGUGAACUCCCAGUUGAUCACUGACUAUUCGGCAUUCCCACCGAGCUGGUUUCGGUUGUACAGCGUCGCUUCGGCGUCGUUGUCCCCUAAUCAGCAGGUGAGUGUGAUCGGACUGUUCCUAUUUCGUUUUCAGGGAGCGGCCGUUUUCGCGCCCCUUGAGAACUCCAUAGCGAGCACGAGCAUCUAAUUCUCCAAGCUACAAAGAGCCAACGGUGAAUGCCUUGGCGCCUGAAGCCGAUGAAGGACGUGGGAGGCUGCGAAAAGCCACGGGGAGCUGCCUACCAAGCUUCGAUCCGUGGACGUCCGAAUGGGGAAACCCGG